CAGUAGUCACGAGUUUCAUCCUGGCUCAGAACGAACGCUGGCGGCGCGCCUAACACAUGCAAGUCGAACGAGAAUCCGGGGCAACCCGGUAGUAAAGUGGCAAACGGGUGAGGAAUACAUGGGUAACCUACCCUUGAGAAGGGAAUAACCCGCCGAAAGGUGAGCUAAUACCCUAUACGCUAUCUUUUUUUCGAAAAGGAUAGGAAAGCCGGGUCGAGGACCUGGUACUCAAGGAGGGGCUCAUGUCCUAUCAGCUUGUUGGUGGGGUAACGGCCUACCAAGGCUACGACGGGUAGCUGGUCUGAGAGGAUGAUCAGCCACACUGGCACUGAGAUACGGGCCAGACUCCUACGGGAGGCAGCAGUGAGGAAUAUUGCGCAAUGGGCGAAAGCCUGACGCAGCGACGCCGCGUGGGGGAUGAAGGUUUCGGAUUGUAACCCUUUCAUGAGGAAGAUAAAGUGGUAACCACUUAGACGGUACCUCAAGAAGAAGCCACGGCUAACUUCGUG
rnacentral:rRNA from 1 species